GGCUUUCUCCUCGCCCUGACGGUUACUCUCGAGGGCGCGUGCGCAGUGCGGGUCGGCCGACCAGCGCAGGCGCGAGGCGUAUGCCCCCGCCCACUCGCCCUGCGCCAGGGCGGAAGCGCGGGUCAGCCGGAGCCGUCAGGGAUCUCAGCAGAGUGCCGAGUGCCUCGCUGGGCUGGCGGAGGAGCGGUUCCGCGGACAGCGCCCCUUACAGCCUUCAUUCAACUGCAGCACUCCAAAGCAGGGCAGAGAAAGUAGGAAGGUGUUGGUCCCUGUGAAGCUCCAAAACCUUGCAGGACAGUUACUGGUUGGAGAAGCUGAGCAUCCUACUUCACUAUUUAGUUCUGCAGGACAGGGAGAAGCAGAGAGAUUUGGGGCCAUGCAAAGCAGGCUCCAAAAAGCAACAGAAGUGGAGGACCUUGUGGAGCUCAGAAAACACCCCGUGGGCUGUGGAUGUUGGCAGAACAACAGGCAGAUCCCCCCACUUUUGUAAUGAUAUGCUGAUAUAGGUGCUAAAGCAACCUUCAGCAAAGAAUCUGAAAUACCUUCAGUCUUUAAAUGCAGGUUGCUGGCUAAGCAGAUGCAGGGGAAGCAUUAGAUGUGACAUAUCUUGAUUUUAGUAAGGCUUCUGACAGUCCUACAUGAUGUUCUCUUAAGCAAAGUAAGGAAACGUGGUCUAGAUGAAAUUAAUAUAAGGAACAACAUGGGUGGUGUCAGAUCCUGGGCCCUCCAGCAUGUGAACUCAGCUGUCUCUUUUCAUGAUUGAGAGAGCUGAGAAGGCACUAUUCUCCCCAGGCCACGCAGCUUUUCUUUUCAAGGCUGGAGGGAUAGAGGUUUCACUGCCUUUUCAAAGCAUACACACAGCUCAUUUAACGACAGAGGUGAAUUCUUGGUCUGUGCUAAUUCAUCUUUUUGGACCUGAUUCUCCACUGUUUUUCUCCCCACAUGGACAUUUACACUUGUGCAAAGUAAGUGUAUAACACUACCACACCAGAAUGUAACGCCUCCAAUAUACCUAAUGUAGAUUCCACAAUAUUCCACUAGGGAUGAAUCUGCACCUUGGCAUUCUGUUCCUUGGAAUAGUAAACUAAGGUCCAUUUGUUUUCUGUGAA